UUAACUAUUAUAUAGUACUCAGACGUCAGAGACAAUAGAGUUUUGGGCCUCUGGCGGGCACUGUCAGCCGGGGCCGACGCCCAAGGGCGGCCCGCCAAAGCAACUAAGUUUUAUAUUCAAGGGUUUUCAGACACCCCACCAAUUUGCGGCCUUUCGGCGACAAAAAGACGAGACCCGACGUGUAAGCCCUCACGGGCCACACAUAGACUAAUGAUCCUUCCGCAGGUUCACCUACGGAAA
rnacentral:misc_RNA from 1 species